ensembl:lncRNA
CACAAACACACCCCACACACACACUAGCAUGCAUACGAACCUGUUCAUAAAGUCGAGCACUUCGAAAGUUUUAACAUCGGAAAAGGUUCGACCGAAUUUCCAGAGUCUAUUCUUCACUACUUCCAGAAUCAAACACUUCGAAAGUUUGAACAUCGGCAAAGUUCAACAGAAUUUCCAGAGUCUAUCCUUCACUACUUCCAGACACCAUGGAUUUCUCGGCAGACAGCUUGGUGAUUAUUCUGAUGAUGAGAUUCCCGAAACAACCACUCAUGGCCUUUUGAAUCUGAGCUCCACACAAUUUGAGGGAAACGUGACUAACAGUGAUUACGACGGAGAUAUUUCAGAUACGAGUGAUGCAAUAGAAGACCAAGAGGAGAUCAUCUCGGAAACCGACAUUCAACAAGACAUCGAACUACAACGGAUCUGCGCAGUGUGGCGUGAAUUCUUCGAAGCAAAGACUGAUUUAUUGGAAAACUUUGGACAGAUUGAUUAUACACUUGAAUCUGGUCGAGGUACAGAUUUUAUCCCUUUACUGUAUAGCACGCUUGAAAAUGUGAAUAGAACCAGAUUUCGCUGCACUGUGUUUCGGUAUCAACCGGUGACGACACACCCGAUCACAAAGAGAUCAUAAUUAUUGUUGCAUGUUCUUUACCAUAUAGCUUUCCCAUGAAUACCAACUCAACCCACUAUCCCCCCCAUCAGGUUGUUGGUUGUUUUCCCUGAGUCAGGCCUUGGUCAAAAAGGUCUAUGAUAAUUAUUGACACACACACACACACACACAUACGAACCUGUCUAUAAAAGCGAACACUUCGUUAGUUGGAAAAUCAGCAAAGAGUCGAAUAGUUCGAAGGGAUCGACAGAAUUUCCAGACUCUAUCCUUCAAAACUUCCAGACACCAUGGAUUUCUCAGCAGGUAAGAAGAUGUAUUUUAAACAAUUGAAAUAGUUCAUUAUAAAUUGAAAUGCAAUGUUUAUGUAAUUAUCCAUUUGAUAUUGAUAUUGAUAUAAAUCUAAAACUAUUCUUUCUGAAUACAACAAUCAUCAUCCUUAUCUGGUCAUUAUGUAAACGGGUACGCUACUAUAUCUAAAUUUAGUGUUCAAUACACUUAUAUUACAGAGCAAGACCGAACUAAGCUCGUCUGAUUCUAGUGUAUAGGAUAACGUAUCAAACGAAUGCGAGUCUACAAGAUAACAGUGCCGUCAUAAUUUCUGACGAUGAAAUUUCCGAGACAUCUGAUCGAAGCCUUUUGAAUCUGAGCUCUACACGUAAGUCAUAACAUAAAAUUUUACAUGGUUUACAUGAAUAAGCAGAAAUGUAAUCAUGCUUUUCUUUCCUAUAGCACAAAUGAAAAUCCCUCUCUAGACGAGCAGAUUUGUCAGAUGAAACCUUUUCUUCUUAUCCACUGCUACGGUAAACUAAAGAGUAGAUUUUCAAAUUACACUGCUAAAUAUGACUAGCAUUAGCUACGUGUAGUAGUGCAAAAUAAUCCAUCAACUGUAUUAGCAGGUGUAGCCUAUACACGAGUCCACUGCU